GAUGAACGCUGGCGGCGUGCCUAAUACAUGCAAGUCGAGCGAACAGACGCGAAGCUUGCUUCUCUGAUGUUAGCCGCGGGCGGGUGAGUAACACGUGGAUAAUCUACCUAUCAGACUGGUAUCACUUCGAGAAACCGGAGCUAAUACCGUAUAAUAUUUUGAACCGCAUGGGUCAAAAGUGAAAGACGGUCUUGCUGUCACUUAUAGAUGGAUCCGCGCUGCAUUAGCUAGUUGUUAAGGUACCGGCGUAUCAAGGCUACGAUGCAUAGUCGAGCUGAGAGGGUGAUUGGCCACACUGGAAGGGAGACAGGGCCCAGACUCAUACGGGAGGGAGCCGUAGGGCAUCUGGCGGAAGGGGCGGAAGCCUGACGAAGCAACGCCGCGUGAUGGAUGAAGGUCGUCGGGUCGUAAAUCUCUGCUAUUAGGGAAGAACACAUUUGUACGUGACUCGACACGUCUUGACGGUAACUAAUCAGAGAGGCACGGCUAACUACGUG
rnacentral:rRNA from 1 species